GCUUGUACACACCGCCGUCGCUGCGAACUGAGUGUUCGAGAAAAGCGGGGACUGCUGCUUUGAGCGCUUUCGGGCGAUCGUUGUGGCGAGAACCGCGUUAAUCGAAACGGCUUGAACCGGGCAAAAGUCGUAACAAGGUUUCCGUAGGUGAACCUGCGGAAGGAUCAUUAU
rnacentral:rRNA from 1 species